rnacentral:rRNA from 1 species
UACGUAGGGGCAAGCGUUGUCCGGAUUUAUUGGGCGUAAAGAGCGUGUAGGCGGCCAGGUAGGUCAGCUGUGAAAACUCGAGGCUCAACCUCGAGACGUCGGUUGAAACCACUUGGCUAGAGUCCGGAAGAGGAGAGUGGAAUUCCUGGUGUAGCGGUGAAAUGCGCAGAUAUCAGGAAGAACACCCGUGGCGAAGGCGGCUCUCUGGGACGGUACUGACGCUGAGACGCGAAAGCGUGGGGAGCGAACAGG